GAUGAACGCUAGCGGCAGGCCUAACACAUGCAAGUCGAACGGUAACAGGUCUAGCUUGCUAGAUGCUGACGAGUGGCGGACGGGUGAGUAACGCGUGGGAAUCUGCCUUCUAGUGGGGGAUAGCCCGGAGAAAUCCGGAUUAAUACCGCAUACGCCCUACGGGGAAAGCCGGGGAGUCUUCGGACCUGGCGCUAGUAGAUGAGCCCGCGUGAGAUUAGCUUGUUGGUGGGGUAAUGGCCUACCAAGGCAACGAUCUCUAGCUGGUCUGAGAGGACGAUCAGCCACACUGGGACUGAGACACGGCCCAGACUCCUACGGGAGGCAGCAGUGGGGAAUAUUGGACAAUGGGCGAAAGCCUGAUCCAGCAAUGCCGCGUGUGUGAAGAAGGCCUGAGGGUUGUAAAGCACUUUCAAUCGUGAAGAAAAGUUGCAGGCUAAUACCCUGUGACCUUGACGUUAACGAUACAAGAAGCACCGGCUAACUCCGUG
rnacentral:rRNA from 1 species